rnacentral:rRNA from 1 species
AACAGGUUAAUAUUCCUGUACUUUCUUUAAUUGUGAUGGAGUGACGGAGAAGGAUAAGCAUACCUAUUAUUGGAUUUAGGGGUAAGUAGUUACUGGUGAUUGUAGGCAAAUCCGCAAUCUAUAACUGGGAGCUAUGAUGCAUAGGACUUUUGUCUGAAUUUGCCAAUUCCAUGCUUCCUAGAAAAGCUUCUAAACUUAAUUUUAUUGAAACCUGUACCAAGAACGGACACACGUCCCCAAGAUGAGUAUUCUAAGGCGAGCGAGAAAACUAGUGUUAAGGAACUCUGCAAAAUGACCCCGUAAGUUCGCAAGAAGGGGCGCCUAUGGUAACACAUAGGCCACAGUAAAUUAUGAGGGGCAACUGUUUAUCAAAAACACAACUCUCUGCUAAACCGCAAGGUGAUGUAUAGGGGGUGAAGCCUGCCCAGUGCCCGAAGGUUAAGUGGAUGCGUUAGCUUAUGCGAAGCGUUGAAAUGAAGCCCGGGUGAACGGCGGCCGUAACUAUAACGGUCCUAAGGUAGCGAAAUUCCUUGUCGGCUAAAUACUGACCUGCACGAAAGGCAUAAUGAUCUCUCAACUGUCUCAACACUAGACUCGGUGAAAUUAUGGUCCCAGUGAAAACGCUGGGUUCCCGCAUCAAGACGAAAAGACCCCAUGGAGCUUUACUAUAACUUCGUAUUGGAAUUUGGCCUAACAUGUGUAGGAUAGGUGGGAGACUUUGAAGCUGAGACGCCAGUAGCAGUGGAGUCAACCUUGAAAUACCACCCUUGUUAUGUUGAAUUUCUAACUUACCAUCAUAAUCAGGUGGGAGGACAGUGCGUGGUGGGUAGUUUGACUGGGGCGGUCGCCUCCUAAAGAGUAACGGAGGCGUUCAAAGGUACACUCAGUACGGUCAGAAACCGUAUGUAGAGCGCAAAGGCAGAAGUGUGCUUGACUGUGAGACAUACAAGUCGAGCAGGUGCGAAAGCAGGACUUAGUGAUCCGGCUGUACAUUGUGGAAUGGCAGUCGCUCAACGGAUAAAAGUUACCCUGGGGAUAACAGGCUAAUCUUGCCCAAGAGAUCACAUCGACGGCAAGGUUUGGCACCUCGAUGUCGGCUCAUCGCAUCCUGGAGCUGGAGUCGGUUCCAAGGGUUGGGCUGUUCGCCCAUUAAAGCGGUACGCGAGCUGGGUUCAAAACGUCGUGAGACAGUUUGGUCCCUAUCUGAUGUGGGCGUUGGAAUAUUGAUGAGAGCCGCUCUUAGUACG